AAUAGAUACCCGGGUAGUCCACGCCGUAAACGACUGAGUGCUAAGUGUUAGACGGGUUUCCGCCCUUUAGGUGCUGAAGUUAACGCAUUAAGCACUCCGCCUGGGGAGUACGGCCGCAAGGCUGAAACUCAAAGGAAUUGACGGGGGCCCGCACAAGCGGUGGAGCAUGUGGUUUAAUUCGAAGCAACGCGAAGAACCUUACCAGGUCUUGACAUCCCCUGACAACCCUAGAGAUAGGGCUUCUCCUUCGGGAGCAGAGUGACAGGUGGUGCAUGGUUGUCGUCAGCUCGUGUCGUGAGAUGUUGGGUUAAGUCCCGCAACGAGCGCAACCCUUGAUCUUAGUUGCCAUCAUUAAGUUGGGCACUCUAAGGUGACUGCCGGUGACAAACCGGAGGAAGGUGGGGAUGACGUCAAAUCAUCAUGCCCCUUAUGACCUGGGCUACACACGUGCUACAAUGGACGGUACAAAGAGCUGCAAGACCGCGAGGUGGAGCUAAUCUCAUAAAACCGUUCUCAGUUCGGAUUGUAGGCUGCAACUCG
rnacentral:rRNA from 1 species